rnacentral:rRNA from 1 species
UACGGGGGGGGCAAGCGUUGUUCGGAAUUACUGGGCGUAAAGGGCUCGUAGGCGGCCAACUAAGUCAUACGUGAAAUCCCCCGGCUUAACCGGGGAACUGCGUCUGAUACUGGAUGGCUUGAGUUCGGGAGAGGGAUGCGGAAUUCCAGGUGUAGCGGUGAAAUGCGUAGAGAUCCGGAAGAACACCGGUGGCGAAGGCGGCCUGCUGGGCAGUAGCUGACGCUGAUGCGCGACAGCGUGGGGAGCAAACAGG